AAAACUUUUAACAACGGAUCUCUUGGUUCUGGCAUCGAUGAAGAACGCAGCGAAAUGCGAUAAGUAAUGUGAAUUGCAGAAUUCAGUGAAUCAUCGAAUCUUUGAACGCACAUUGCGCCCGCCAGGCAUUCUGGCGGGCAUGCCUGGUU
rnacentral:rRNA from 1 species